ACGAGUUUGCUCUACGUGGUCGCCUAACCCAGUCUUUGUGUUUUUAUAUCUUGUUGGUUUCAUUGAGGAAGAGGUUGUCCUUUUUAUUUCUUUGGAAAACUACCUGGUAGCUCAGUGGUAGAGCGGCUUCUUGGUAAGAAGGAGGUCGCAGGUUCGAAUCCUGUCCAGGUACCCAUUCCAAAGAUCCAAGAAUUGGAUAAUGAUUUUCUUUUGUGGAUUUGUAGAGUAGGGCGCUGAUAGCUCAGAUGGUAGAGCACUCCCCUGUCAAGGGAGAGGAGUCGCGGGUUCGAGUCCCGUUCGGCGCUCCGUUUCUACAAAGAAGUGGAAAAGAUAAAAAAGGAAAAAGCAAAUGCAACGACAUUUGCCUUCAAUGAAGCUUGCAAGAAAACUAGAAACAGAAAGACUGGGGGAGGCGUAGUGAAAGCGAGCCUGAUAAGGGCGCCUGCCCGCAUUGCUACGCGUAAGCGUUGCAGGCGGGUGUAUGAUCGCGUGGACAAGACCCGAAGCCGGACGAGCUACAUAUGAGCAGGGUGAAGCGAAGGUAAAACUUCGUGGAGGCCCGAACCCACGAGCCGUGCAACACUCGGGGAUGACUUGUGUGUAGAGGAGAAAUUCCAAUCGAGUUCGGCGAUAGCUGGUUCUCUCCGAAAUAGCUUGAGGGCUAGCGUCGCGGAAGUAGGGUCGGGAGGUAGAGCUACUGGAUGAGAAUUCGCGGGCAACCGUAGGGUUUUCAACCAAACUCCGAAUGCCCGAUACCCGUACCGCGGCAGUCAGAAAUCCGGGGCUAAGCUCGGAUCUCAAAAGGGAAACAGCCCAGAUCGUCAUCUAAGGUCCCCAAAUCUCUGUUCAGUGGAAAAGGAAGUGAAGUUUCUUGGACACCUAGGAGGUUGGCUUAGAAGCAGCCAUCCUUUAAAGAGUGCGUAAUAGCUCACUAGUCUAGAGACUUCGCGCCGAAAAUGUAACGGGGCUAAACAGAGUACCGAAGAUACGGGAUUCUUUCUUGCUUGCAAGAAAGAAUCGGUAGGAGAGCGUUCCUUGUGCGCUGAAGCGUGCAUCGCGAGAUGGCGUGGAGCGCAGGGAAGUGAGAAUGUUGGCAUGAGUAACCGCAAUGCAUGUGAAAUCCAUGCACACCGAAAGUCCAAGGUUUCCCGGGCAACGGCGAUCGUCCCGGGGUUAGUCGGUCCUAAGGCGAGGCCGAAAGGCGUAGUCGAUGGCAAAUCGGUUAAUAUUCCGAUACUAUAGAACACAUUCGAUGGAGUGACGCAUUCUAGUAUUCUUCGCGCAUUAUUGGAUUUGUGUAGAGAUAUUGAGGGCGUCGGGCAGGCAAAUCCGCCCGGCAUUCUCCCAAGGUAUUUCUGGACGUCCGGAUUUAUUCGGAUGAACGAAGAGGAGCAGGGUGCCAGGAAAAACUUCUCAGGUUCGUGUGUUCAUAACCGUACUAAAACCGACACAGGUGGACUGGGCGAGUAGCCCAAGGUGAACGGGAGAACCUUCGUUAAGGAACUCGGCAAAAAAGCUAGGCGUACGUUUGCAAUAUGCCUUGCCCGUCGCAAGAUGGGCCGCAGCGAAAGUUUCCCAAGCGACUGUUUACCAAAAACACAGGUCUCUGCAAACCCGCAAGGGGAAGUAUAGGGGCUGACGCCUGACCAGUGCUGGAACGUUAACGGGAGCGGUUCACGCCAAUCCCCGAAGCGCCAGUGAACGUCGGCGAUAACUAUAAUCGUCCUAAGGUAGCGAAAUUCCUUGUCAGGUAAAUUCUGACCCGCAUCAAAGGCGUAACGAUUUGGGAACUGUCUCAACGAAGGAC
rnacentral:rRNA from 1 species